CCCGCAAGGGUGGCUGGCGCUAGUGGCGGACGGGUGAGUAACACGUGGGCAACCUGCCCAAGAGUGUGGGAUAACCCUGCGAAAGCAUAGCUAAUACCGCAUGUGGCUGCCGGAAGGCAUCUUCUGGCAACUAAAGUCGCAAGACGCUCUUGGAUGGGCCCGCGGCCUAUUAGCUAGUUGGUGAGGUAACGGCCCACCAAGGCUGUGAUGGGUAGCUGGUCUGAGAGGACGAUCAGCCACACUGGGACUGAGACACGGCCCAGACUCCUACGGGAGGCAGCAUUGAGGAAUUUUCCGCAAUGGGCGAAAGCCUGACGGAGCAACGCCGCGUGAGGGAUGAAGUCUCUAGGGAUGUAAACCUCUGUUGGGAGGGACGAAGAUCUGACGGUACCUCCUGAGGAAGCCCCGGCUAACUACGUGCCAGCA
rnacentral:rRNA from 1 species